GACAAAUUUAGCAAAGCAACCUGCUAAUGUACAUCUCAUCUUUUCUAAAUGUAAAAACCUCAUGAGCUCUGCAAGCCAUUGUUCAUGUGUAGGGGGGGCCUCCUGUUUUCUCCUGAAAAGUAUAAGACAUCUUGCAAUCUGUGUAGCAAACGCUAUUGUAUUUGGAUUAUGUUUGGAAUGUAAAACAUCUGGAGGUAUAACUCCAAAGAUUGCAGUUAGAGCGGAAAGGCCAAAUUUAUUAUUGUAUAUUUCUGAAAGUGAAUUGAAUAUAGGAGACCAAUAGGUAUUGAGUUUCGAGCAUGCCUAGAAAGUGUGAAUAAGGGAACCCGCUUCUGCCUUGCAUAGGUUAUACCAGGGAUCAGUCCCUGGAUAAAACUUACCUAGCUUUUCUUUUGAAAUAUGUAACCCAUGCCAGACCUUGAAUAGACCAGUUCACGCGUGACGUCAGCGCUACAUCCGGGUCCCGCUGGUUGGCAAAAGCGGCUCUGUUCUCGCUAAACAACAUUACAAAACGGGUGAAAUACAGCGUGCUUUUAGUCCGUUUACUUUCGAAAUAUAAACAAUGCCUGUGAGUUGUUGUGCUCCCGGUUGCACACAGAGGCAUUCCAAGUCGUCCGAUGUUCGUUUCUUUCGUAUACCAAAGGAUAAAGAAAGAAGAAAGAAAUGGAUCGUUGCUAUGAAAAGGAUGCAGGCCGACAAUCCCAAACGUGUUUGGGAGCCGUCUAACUACGACAGAAUUUGCAGUCUGCACUUCAUCUCCGGUGAGCCUUCAACAGACAUAAACCAUCCCGACUUUCAGCCCACUAUUUACAACUUUACACCAGUGACCAAGUCAACUCCAAAAUCGUUGGAAAGGUUCGAGCGGGUGGCCAAAAGGCGAAGAAGAUUGGCAUUAACACCCAAUCAAACGAAGGAAAAUGUACCGCACAGCCAUCAGGAACAAACAGCCGCCCAGGCCUUGUUGGAUUUGGCACAUUAUACCCCAUCGUACAAAGAUUCAGGAACAGAUCCUGACCCUGACCCUCUUCAGCAGCAGUAUGAUCAGCUAAAAAGGGAUUAUGCAGGACUUCAACAGGACUACCAACGUGUUGUGGAUGAAAAUCGGAGUCUCAAGGCCGAACGUGAAGCAAGUUGGUUUACCUACACAAAUCUCAACAACUAAGUGACAAAAGCACUGACAGGACUUCCUAAUGUGGAAUUAUUCCAGUGGUUGAUGUCCCUUGUGUGUCUUUAUCUGAAACCAGUCGGUAAAUUGUGUUCUGGUGACAUUCUUCUGCUGGUUUUAAUGAAACUGAAACUUGGCUGUACCAACAAAGACUUGGCAAUACGGUUUAAGGUUGCCCCGACCCAGGUGUCUGCCAUCUUGAAUAGCGCCAUACCCAUAAUAGCUAAAAGACUAGAAUUCCUCAUACGGUGGCCAACAAAGGGUGAGGUGCUGAAGAAUAUGCCAAAGGUGUUCAGGCAGCACUACAGGAGAGCUAGAGUAAUUAUUGACUGUAGUGAGAUUUUCAUUCAGCGACCUGUGAAUUUGAGUGCCCGUGCAAAGACAUAGUCCAACUACAAGCAUCAUAACACAGCAAAAUUCUUGAUUGGCAUCACCCCUUGUGGAACGGUUAGUUUUGUUUCUUCCAACUGGGGUGGACGAGUUUCCGAUAAAGAACUGACCAAACAAUCCGGGUUCUAUGAUAAACUUGAGCCUGGUGAUUUGGUGUUGGCAGAUAGAGGAUUUCUAAUUGCAGAAGAACUGGCUGCUCAUGGGGCAACAUUAGCCAUGCCUCCGUUUGCCAAGGGAAAGCAACAAUUCUCGCAAAAAGAAGUGGAAGAGGCCAGGCGCUUAUCAAAGCUGAGGAUUCAUGUUGAACGAGCAAUUGAGCGUGUAAAACGAUUUGGAAUUUUGAAAAAUGUGAUGCCAAUAACACUGUCUCGUCAUAUUGAUUCUAUACUGAUCAUAUGUUGUGCAAUUACAAAUGUUUUGCCUAAACUGUUGAAGUGACACUUCAAAAAAAAAAAAAAAACAUGGGACACAAGCUGCUGUCAA